rnacentral:rRNA from 1 species
UACAGAGGGUGCUAGCGUUGUUCGGAAUCAUUGGGCGUAAAGGGCGUGUAGGCGGUUUGUUAAGUCAUGUGUGAAAUCCCUCGGCUCAACCGGGGAACGACGCAUGAAACUGGCAAGCUAGAGUACCAAAGAGGGGGGUGGAAUUCCCGGUGUAGCGGUGGAAUGCGUAGAUAUCGGGAGGAACACCUGUGGCGAAGGCGGCCCCCUGGUUGGAUACUGACGCUGAUACGCGAAAGCGUGGGGAGCAAACAGG